GCCGGGGUAGCUUAGCUGGUGGAGCGCCGGACUCAUAGGGAAUAACGCUUAAUCGUCCGGAGAAAUCCGGAGGCCCUGGGUUCAAAUCCCAGCCCCGGCA
rnacentral:tRNA from 1 species